UAUUGUGGAUCAUCGUUAAUGUGGCUAGCUUCACACAAAGGUGAGUCCAGCUAGCUAGCGAGUAGCGACCAUAACAUAGCUAUUUGCCAGUUUAUUUUAGGUAAUUUAGCUACAGUGGAUAGUCAAGGUCAGAAAACUAUCUAGCGUGCUAGCUAAUCCACACAAAACUCAACAUACUACAUGGUAAAUAUAUUCUGUACAAUGUGCUAUGGUAACCUGUUAGCUAGCUAGCUAGCCUAGUUGGUAGGCCUAACAUUAACGCUUCGAACACACCGACUGUGUCUUUGCAUCACUGCUGCAUAACAUUUUGCGCAGCUAGGCAACUAUACUGAUGCAGGUACCUUUUGCAAAUGGUCGCAUGCCGUUGGACACAUGGAGGAGAGAAUCAUUUUCGCAGUAUCCUCAAAACCGUGUCUUUUUGACACAACUGCUGACAGCUACAGGGACAUAAACACAAAAAAUGCUGCUUGGAGACAAGUGUUCACGAUAGUAGGAUUGCCAGAAGAAGACUAGGAGGAAGUGGAGAGGACUCAGGGACAGGUCUGGGUCAGCAUCUUCAGGCCAGCAGCCUUGGCGCUUCUGCCACAUUCUGUCUUUUCUGGAUCCAUGUAUUGUGCCUAGGGCAACGAGUGGCAAUUUUACAGCCACACCCUCUACUACGUCAUCCACAAUUGUUGUCGCCACCGGUGCAUCAAGACCCUCAACGUCACCUACAAGUGCGACCAUCACCUCCACCGGUGGAGUGAGACCCUCUACAACAUCAUCCACGAGUAUGACCACCACCGGUGCAGUGAGACCCUCUACAACAUCAUCCACGAGUAUGACCACCACCGGUGCAGUGAGACCCUCUACAACAUCAUCCACGAGUAUGACCACCACCGGUGCAGUGAGACCCUCUACAACAUCAUCCACGAGUAUGACCACCACCGGUGCAGCCAUGGAAGAUGAUGAAAUGGAGGAAGCACCUCUGGAUCUAGGACCACCUGAGAUUAUUAUGAACCUCACGGAAGUGACCACUGAGGACCUCGUUGAACAGGAUGUGGCCGUGGAGAGAAACAGAGAGAGAAACGAAGAGGAACAAUGUCACACCAGGCGUCAUCGGAGGUACCAGACCCCAGAUCCACUCAACUCAUUUCAGCAGAGGCUCCUCCAAGCCGUCGAGAGGGAUGCAGCCCAACCUGAUGCUCACAGGAAGGAGGAUGAAGAGACCCUCUUUGCCAUGAACCUGGUGCCAACACUGAAGAGGCUGCCUCAGCAAAGACAAGCAGCAGUCAAGGUUAAAAUGUAUCAGCUGCUUUUCCAAGCCGAAUUCAAUGAAAUGGAGUCAAUUUAGCCGACCAGCUCACAGGAAGGACAGGAAGAGGAGAGGAAGGACAGGAAGAGGAAGGACAGGAAAGACAGGAAGAGGAGAGGAAGGACAUGAAGAGGAGAGGAAGGACAGGAAGAGGACAGGAAGAGGAAGGACAGGAAGAGGAGAGGAAGGACAGGAAGAGGAAGGACAGGAAAGACAGGAAGAGGAGAGGAAGGACAGGAAGAGGAGAGGAAGGACAGGAAGAGGAGAGGAAGAGGAAGGACAGGAAGAGGAAGGACAGGAAGAGGAGAGGAAGGACAGGAAGAGGAAGGACAGGAAGAGGAGAGGAAGGACAGGAAAGACAGGAAGAGGAGAGGAAGGACAUGAGGAGAGGAAGGACAGGAAGAGGACAGGAAGAGGAAGGACAGGAAGAGGAGAGACAGGAAGAGGAAGGACAGGAAAGACAGGAAGAGGAGAGGAAGGACAUGAAGAGGAGAGGAAGGACAGGAAGAGGAGAGGAAAAGGACAGGAAGAGGAGAGGAAGGACAGGAAGAGGAAGGACAGGAAAGACAGGGAGAGGAAGGACAGGAAGAGGAGAGGUAGGACAGGAAGAGGAGAGGAAGGACAGGAAGAGGAAGGACAGGAAAGACAGGAAGAGGAGAGGAAGCACAGGAAGAGGAAGGACAGGAGUCCUUCUUGUCUGGGCGUUGUUUUGGCCUCCCUCAUUGUACCUUUCCUUUCACACACGUCAGUUCUGUUUAAAUUCAGUCAAUUCAUAAAGUCAUUUGUUUAUAAAGUCUUAGGAUACCAUUCAUUAUUAGUGUUACAUAGAUUUCUGAAUUGAAACUCAUACGGAGUUUUCACAGAUGCUCUUGGUGUCUUACGAGACUAAAGGUCAAUAUAUUUAUUUCAUUUAAAACCACUUGAAAACCAGAGUGUUGAAACUUUUAGUGAAGUUAUGUUCCAUCGACUGGUCCAUGACGUCCAGGAGCCAUUUGUUUGUUUAGCUGUGUUAUGGCUACAUAUUAUUUCCUUUUUUUCAGAGACAGAGACACACACACACCACUUCAUACCUCAGAUAUCCAGUGCCCUGCCCUCUCUCUCUUUAUGGCCAUGUCUGAAGUUCCCCUACUACGUCUAGGCUUUAUGAGUAGUCCCUUUAAUGGUCUGCAGUUGUGCCAAAAAUACAUGCUCUUGUUGUUUGUUCUCUUACAGAUUACACGCUACACAUAAAAAAAUUUAAUAUUUUUAUUUUAAAAAGCACGCACACACACCACUUUCAAUAGUAUUAUUUUUACAACACACAUACCUGUCAUGUUCUUUCCUGUACUUGAAUACUUAUUAAAUUAUGUUUUCAUAGUCAGUUUCAGUUGUUUAUUAAUAUCUCAUUUAGACUUAAUCUGCUUAUUUCUUUCCUACACCUUUGCUGAUCUAAGACAAGAUGAAAGUAAAAACACAUUCUCUUCCUAAUUAGUUUAUUUUCCACCUGUAUUUUGCCAGGCCAGUGAACAUGGUGGUAAACUGUACUAUUUGUAUGGACCCUAGGUUACCCUUUCCCUUUGUUAUCAUACUAACUAUGUCGUGUAACCUUAAUUAGUGCUCCUGCUCACCUGAUAUACCAUGCCAGGUGUGUAUAAUACUGACGUUAAUGGGAGAGGGAAGGUUAAGGUGUGGUCUUUACUCCCAAAUUUCACUUAAAUAUAGCUUCCAAAUGAAGAGAGACAUAAAGUAAUCUGGGGGAAAAAAUGCAAUUUUAUGGACAACGGUGGAUGGUUCUUAAAAUAACCUUUGUGUUAUGGGGCUCUUAAAAGAGCCGUUUCACUCCACGGCAGUAUAUACCUGCUGGCGAUGAGAAGUAGGUGGUCAGCUUCUCCCUCACCUGGAGUGCCUGUCUGGGGGCGUUGUUGGCACCUGCCCUGGUGACAUCAGGAAGGUGACCAUUUGGCGUGCCCAUCUCCAUCCGGAGCGGCUCCUGGAAUGACCUCCGCAGGUAGUUGUGGAGAACACAUGUGGCCUUCACGCAGGCAGCGACAUUUGAGGGGCUGAGACCAAGCACUCUCCGAUACGUUCUCCAUCGGGCUGCCAAAAUCCCAAAGGCACAUUCAACAACUAACAUUCAACAAUUAAGGACUUAAUGAUGAAAUGCCUAUGUAUGUUAUGCUGUGAAUUGGAACAUGAAAUAUGUGUCUCUUGUAGAUUAUUCUGACGUUUUUCAUAUGAUGUACCCAAUGACUAAUGAAAACUUGCUAUGUCCUCAUUGAGAUUAUACAGAAGUGUUCAAUACGCCUUAUUUAUACACUUUUGUAAUAUUUAUGAAAUGCAUAUUGUUAUAUUUGGUAGCACUUAUUUGUUUUUUCCUUUGCCUCCAACCCCCUUCGAUAUGUAGAAAGGAUGUGGGUGGGGCCAGAUCUACAUAAGGGUGCAACUUUCAAAAAAUCCCAAAAGCUCUGACGAAGGCCGUGUGGCCGAUACGUAAAGCUUAUUAAAUAUCGGUGAUACUAUCAAGA